AGAUGCUUCUGGGUCGCGGUGUGCUGAGCUAGGAGUCCGAGUGUGUGAGCUUGAGAGCCGCGCGCUAGGGCGACCCGGCGAGGGAUGGCGGCCACCGGGACCGCGGCUGCCGCAGCCACGGGCAGGCACCAAGAGCUGCUUUGAAACAAAAGAAGAAGUUCUUCAGUACUGUCAGGAGAUGUAUCCAGAGCUACAGAUCACAAAUGUGAUGGAGGCAAACCAGCGGGUCAGUAUUGACAAUUGGUGCCGGAGGGACAAAAAGCAAUGCAAGAGUCGCUUUGUUACACCUUUCAAGUGUCUUGUGGGUGAAUUUGUAAGUGAUGUUCUGCUAGUUCCAGAAAAGUGCCAGUUUUUCCACAAAGAGCGGAUGGAGGUGUGCGAGAAUCACCAGCACUGGCACACGGUAGUCAAAGAGGCAUGUCUGACUCAGGGAAUGACCUUAUAUAGCUAUGGCAUGCUGCUCCCAUGUGGGGUAGACCAGUUCCAUGGCACUGAAUAUGUGUGCUGCCCUCAGACAAAGAUUAUUGGAUCUGUGUCAAAAGAAGAGGAGGAGGAAGAGGACGAUGAAGAGGAAGAGGAAGAUGA
rnacentral:sRNA from 1 species